rnacentral:rRNA from 1 species
UACGGAGGGUGCAAGCGUUAUCCGGAUUUACUGGGUUUAAAGGGUGCGUAGGUGGGUUGGUAAGUCAGUGGUGAAAUACUUUCGCUUAACGAAGGAACUGCCAUUGAUACUAUCAGUCUUGAAUGUAGUGGAGGUAGGCGGAAUGCGUCAUGUAGCGGUGAAAUGCUUAGAUAUGACGCAGAACACCAAUUGCGAAGGCAGCUUGCUACACUACUAUUGACACUGAUGCACGAAAGCGUGGGGAUCAAACAGG